ACGGCCCGGCACGGCACGGCACGGCCGGGGCUGAGCGUGGGCCCGGGCCGGCUCCGCUGACGGGCGCGCUGUGGGCCACUGAGGCAAGCGCUACGAAUUACUAAAGCAUUGUUGUGAAAAAAAAUAAGGAAUAAAGUCGCUUAACUGCGGAGAAAGAGCAGGAAAAGUAGGAAUCAUAGAACAAGUUGAAAAGAACCCAUGAGGAUCAUCGAGUCCAACACCUGGCCCUGCACAGCACCAUCCCUGAGAGUCACACCAUGUGCCUGGGAGAACUGUCCAAACUCUUCAACUCUGGCAGGUUUGGUGCUGUGACCGCUUCCCUGGGGAGCCUGUUCCAUGGCCCGACCACCCUCUGGAAGAAAAACUUUCUCCUGACACAUCAGGACAGCAUGUCACAGCAGCACCACUUCCAGCGCCUGAUCCCCCUGCCAGGAGCGGCGGACGCUCCUCGGAGCGCUGAAUAACGGGACCUCCCCCAGGCACGCUCCGCCCUUGUUUCCCGCCUGCACCGAGACCCUUCCCGACUUUGGGAAUCGGCUUUUCGGAGGUGGCUCUUCACUCCUUUUCCCACCCCGUCUGGGUUCCGCAGUGGCGCUCGCGGCCCUGCGGAGGGAGCCCGUCCGCCACCGCCGCUCGCUCACCCGCGCUCAGCGCCUCGGAAAGCGCCGGGAACCUGCGCUCUGCCUACGGGAGAGGGCAACACGCGCCCACUCCUUUUCCAUGCCGUCCCACAGUCGCACAGCGCAAGCCGUGCCAGCCCUGGCUGUGUCCCGAGGGCAGGCUCAGCCUUCCGCACGAGAAAUGUUGCAUCUCUCAUGGAACUGGUAACUCUAAGCAGCCUUGCUAAAUUUUAGGGGAUUUGCCACCUCCUUGAAGUGUA